rnacentral:rRNA from 1 species
GAUGAACGCUGGCGGCGUGCUUAAUACAUGCAAGUCGAGCGAACAGACGAGGAGCUUGCUCCUCUGACGUUAGCCGCGGACGGGUGAGUAACACGUGGAUCAUCUACCUAUAAGACUGGGAUAACUUCGGGAAACGGGCGCAUACAGCGGAUAAUCUAUUGAACCGCAUGGUGCAAUGGUAAAAGACGGCUUUUCUGUCACUACUAGCUGGAUCCGCGCCGCAUUAGCUGGUUGGGAAGGUAACGGCUUACCAAGGCGACGAUGCGUAUCCGAGCUGUGAGGGUGAUCGGCCGCACUGGAACUGGGACACGGUCCAGACUACUACGGGAGGCAGCAGUAGGGAAUCGUCCGCAAUGGUCGGAAGCCUGACGGAGCAACGCCGCGUGUGUGAUGAAGGUCUUCGGUUCGUAAAGCUCUGUUAUUGGGGAAAAACAAAUGUGUAAGGUGCUAUGCACUUCUUGACGGUACCUAAUCAGGAAGCCACGGCUAACUACGUG